UACGUAGGGGGGCUAGCGUUGUCCGGAAUCAUUGGGCGUAAAGAGCGUGUAGGCGGUCCGGUAAGUCCGCUGUGAAAGUCGGGGGCUCAACCCUCGAAUGCCGGUGGAUACUGUCGGGCUAGAGUGCGGAAGAGGCGAGUGGAAUUCCUGGUGUAGCGGUGAAAUGCGUAGAUAUCAGGAGGAACACCUGUGGUGUAGACGGCUUACUGGACCAUGACUGACGCUGGGAGCACGAAAGCGUGGGGAGCAAACAGG
rnacentral:rRNA from 1 species